rnacentral:rRNA from 1 species
UACGAAGGGGGCUAGCGUUGCUCGGAAUCACUGGGCGUAAAGCGCACGUAGGCGGCUUGUUAAGUCAGGGGUGAAAUCCUGGAGCUCAACUCCAGAACUGCCUUUGAUACUGGCGAGCUCGAGUACGGGAGAGGUGAGUGGAACUGCGAGUGUAGAGGUGAAAUUCGUAGAUAUUCGCAAGAACACCAGUGGCGAAGGCGGCUCACUGGCCCGUAACUGACGCUGAGGCACGGAAAGCGUGGGGAGC